rnacentral:rRNA from 1 species
AAUCCAUAGGUUAAUGAGGCGAACCGGGGGAACUGAAACAUCUAAGUACCCCGAGGAAAAGAAAUCAACCGAGAUUCCCCCAGUAGCGGCGAGCGAACGGGGAGGAGCCCAGAGCCUGAAUCAGCAUGUGUGUUAGUGGAAGCGUCUGGAAAGGCGCGCGAUACAGGGUGACAGCCCCGUACACAAAAGCGCAUGUGCUGUGAGCUCGAUGAGUAGGGCGGGACACGUGGUAUCCUGUCUGAAUAUGGGGGGACCAUCCUCCAAGGCUAAAUACUCCUGACUGACCGAUAGUGAACCAGUACCGUGAGGGAAAGGCGAAAAGAACCCCGGCGAGGGGAGUGAAAAAGAACCUGAAACCGUGUACGUACAAGCAGUGGGAGCACAGGUUUACCUGUGUGACUGCGUACCUUUUGUAUAAUGGGUCAGCGACUUAUAUU